CUAUAUAUUUCUUAUAUUAAAUGUUAUAAAGCCUGAUAGGCUUUGUGUUUAUUGCUAAAUGGGGGGUCGAUAAAAGAGCCAUAAUUCUGUAGACAACUAUAGUUAAAUACUUUAACUCACAUUUUCCCGGAACUUCUGACAUGCGCACUAUUUACAUUUCCAAGAUGGAUGCACAAACAGUAACCAAUGUAAACUACAAGAUCUACGAUUAGAUCUAGCUAUUGAUUUUAGAACCUUAUGAAUAUUUGUUACUCUCCUAUCAUAUCAUGGCAGAAGCAGAUCCUGUAACAUUGGUUCACAUUGUCAGCUAGAGAGUAGAGUUUGACAGUUUUUCAUGUGCAUUUUCCUGGACCCUUGUACAACAGUGUCGGAUAAAGCCUUAAAGCCAUGACCAUAAAUUGUUGUUCUAAGCAAGAUUGUUGUACAUACUUUACUCUGGACAUUUCACAGGUUGUGAAAUACAGUGGCAUGAAAUGAGUGAACUAACCCCAGUCAAUAGUUAGCAUUCAACUGUAUUCUUCAGUAGCAUUUCAAGUAUUUUACAGAUCCUUCACCUGCAUAGUACAGAAUGGUCUAGUGAUGAAAUUAUAUGCAUCAUUGAUGAAAUGACAAGUACACCUGAAGAUUGGUCAGUUGAAAAUAUUGCUGGCUUACUGCUUGCAUGUGGGGAAUGUAUUGCCAUUAAAAUGUUGGCCAGCAAAGCAAUUAAUGGCAGAUAUGUUGAACUGGCUAGCAUUAUUACUUCCCUUUGUCUUGUUUGUGUGAAACACAAUUACAACUUGACUCAAGUCAUGACAAUGUUGGACUUAUUAUAAGUGUGAUAGAAAACCCAAGAGACAAACUUGUACUGCUCAACAGGAUCCUUGAUACAUUUAAGGAGCUUGUGUUGGACACACCUGGGUUCACUGAUUCAGAUGAUGCCAGUGACAAUGAAUUUUCCUUCCAUGUGUCUGCAUUGACAGAAUUUGGAAUUUGCAAAGUAAAUGGCCCAGCUUGCUUAUAAACGUGUCAUACCUCAUUAACA